rnacentral:pre_miRNA from 1 species
UCCGAACGACAGGGUAUCGGUGGUGAUCUGGUAAGCAUCUCGCUUAUGAGAUCACGCCUAUAUUCGCUUUCGGCGAGU